UGCAGCAACGCCGCGUGAGGGACGAAGGCCUUCGGGUUGUAAACCUCUUUUAGUAGGGAAGAAGCGACUGGGUUUUCCUGGGAGUGACGGUACCUGCAGAAAAAGCACCGGCUAACUACGUGCCAGCAGCCGCGGUAAUACGUAGGGUGCAAGCGUUGUCCGGAAUUAUUGGGCGUAAAGAGCUCGUAGGCGGUUUGUCGCGUCUGCUGUGAAAACCCGAGGCUCAACCUCGGGCCUGCAGUGGGUACGGGCAGACUAGAGUGCGGUAGGGGAGAUUGGAAUUCCUGGUGUAGCGGUGGAAUGCGCAGAUAUCAGGAGGAACACCAAUGGCGAAGGCAGAUCUCUGGGCCGUAACUGACGCUGAGGAGCGAAAGCAUGGGGAGCGAACAGGAUUAGAUACCCUGGUAGUCCAUGCCGUAAACGUUGGGAACUAGAUGUGGGGACCAUUCCACGGUCUCCGUGUCGCAGCUAACGCAUUAAGUUCCCCGCCUGGGGAGUACGGCCGCAAGGCUAAAACUCAAAGGAAUUGACGGGGGCCCGCACAAGCGGCGGAGCAUGCGGAUUAAUUCGAUGCAACGCGAAGAACCUUACCAAGGCUUGACAUAUACCGGAAACGGCUGGAAACAGUCGCCCCGCAAGGUCGGUAUACAGGUGGUGCAUGGUUGUCGUCAGCUCGUGUCGUGAGAUGUUGGGUUAAGUCCCGCAACGAGCGCAACCCUCGUCCUAUGUUGCCAGCACGUAAUGGUGGGAACUCAUGGGAUACUGCCGGGGCCAACUCGGAGGAAGGUGGGGAUGACGUCAAAUCAUCAUGCCCCUUAUGUCUUGGGCUUCACGCAUGCUACAAUGGCCGGUACAAAGGGCUGCGAUACCGCAAGGUGGAGCGAAUCCCAAAA
rnacentral:rRNA from 1 species